UGGGGAAUUUUGGACAAUGGGCGAAAGCCUGAUCCAGCAAUGCCGCGUGUGUGAAGAAGGCCUUCGGGUUGUAAAGCACUUUUGUCCGGAAAGAAAUCCUUGGCUCUAAUACAGUCGGGGGAUGACGGUACCGGAAGAAUAAGCACCGGCUAACUACGUGCCAGCAGCCGCGGUAAUACGUAGGGUGCAAGCGUUAAUCGGAAUUACUGGGCGUAAAGCGUGCGCAGGCGGUUUGCUAAGACCGAUGUGAAACCCCGGGCUCAACCUGGGAACUGCAUUGGUGACUGGCAGGCUAGAGUAUGGCAGAGGGGGGUAGAAUUCCACGUGUAGCAGUGAAAUGCGUAGAGAUGUGGAGGAAUACCGAUGGCGAAGGCAGCCCCCU
rnacentral:rRNA from 1 species